AUACGGAGGAUCCGAGCGUUAUCCGGAUUUAUUGGGUUUAAAGGGAGCGUAGGCGGACGCUUAAGUCAGUUGUGAAAGUUUGCGGCUCAACCGUAAAAUUGCAGUUGAUACUGGGUGUCUUGAGUACAGUAGAGGCAGGCGGAAUUCGUGGGGUAGCGGUGAAAUGCUUAGAUAUCACGAAGAACUCCGAUUGCGAAGGCAGCCUGCUGGACUGUAACUGACGCUGAUGCUCGAAAGUGUGGGUAUCAAACAGGAUUAGAUACCCUGGUAGUCCACACAGUAAACGAUGAAUACUCGCUGUUUGCGAUAUACAGUAAGCGGCCAAGCGAAAGCGUUAAGUAUUCCACCUGGGGAGUACGCCGGCAACGGUGAAACUCAAAGGAAUUGACGGGG
rnacentral:rRNA from 1 species